rnacentral:rRNA from 1 species
UGGGGAAUAUUGGACAAUGGGCGAAAGCCUGAUCCAGCCAUGCCGCGUGUGUGAAGAAGGUCUUCGGAUUGUAAAGCACUUUAAGUUGGGAGGAAGGGCAUUAACCUAAUACGUUAGUGUUUUGACGUUACCGACAGAAUAAGCACCGGCUAACUCUGUGCCAGCAGCCGCGGUAAUACAGAGGGUGCAAGCGUUAAUCGGAAUUACUGGGCGUAAAGCGCGCGUAGGUGGUUUGUUAAGUUGGAUGUGAAAUCCCCGGGCUCAACCUGGGAACUGCAUUCAAAACUGACUGACUAGAGUAUGGUAGAGGGUGGUGGAAUUUCCUGUGUAGCGGUGAAAUGCGUAGAUAUAGUAAGGAACACCAGUGGCGAAGGCGACCACCUGGACUAAUACUGACACUGAGGUGCGAAAGCGUGGGGAGCAAACA